rnacentral:rRNA from 1 species
AUUGAACGCUGGCGGCAGGCCUAACACAUGCAAGUCGAGCGGAGCGGCGGACGGGUGAGUAAUGCCUAGGAAUCUGCCUGGUAGUGGGGGAUAACGUCCGGAAACGGGCGCUAAUACCGCAUACUCUCAGCGUAGCCUAGGUCGGUUUAGUUUUUUGGUGGGGUAAAGGCCUACAAAGGCGACGAUCCGUACCUGGUCUGGGAGGAUGAUCAGUCACACUGGAACUGAGACACGGUCCAGACUCCUACGGGAGGCAGCAGUGGGGAAUAUUGGACAAUGGGCGAAAGCCUGAUCCAGCCAUGCCGCGUGUGUGAAGAAGGUCUUCGGAUUGUAAAGCACUUUAAGUUGGGAGGCGUUACCAACAGAAUAAGCACCGGCUAACUUCGUGCCAGCAGCCGCGGUAAUUC